GAACUGCCUUUGAUACUGGUAGUCUAGAGUUCUGGAGAGGGUGGCGGAAUUCCCGGUGUAGGAGUGAAAUCCGUAGAGAUCGGGAGGAACACCAGAGGCGAAGGCGGCCACCUGGCCAGAAACUGACGCUGAGGCGCGAAAGCGUGGGUAGCAAACAGGAUUAGAUACCCUGGUAGUCCACGCUGUAAACAUUGGAUGCUAGAUGCGGGUGACGUAGAAGUUAUUCGUGUCGCAGCUAACGCGUUAAGCAUCCCGCCUGGGGAGUACGGCCGCAAGGCUGAAACUCAAAGGAAUUGACGGGGGCCUGCACAAGCGGUGGAGUAUGUGGUUUAAUUCGAUGCAACGCGAAGAACCUUACCUGGGCUUGACAUCCCGGGAAUCGCCUAGAGAUA
rnacentral:rRNA from 1 species